GUUCCCACCAAGCUCACAACUUAGUCUAUGGUUGUGGGUUUGUGUUUAGGGGAUUUUUCAUUAAAAUUUUUGGGUUCAAACACCCCUUUUAUUUCUGUUUAUACAUAACAAAUCAAUGAUGAAAACAAGCACAAGACAUCAUCUUUUAUAUGAUGAACUUGUGACUUGUGAAGUGUGAACAAAUGGAAGCUUUGGCUUUCCAAACUAAGUUCCACUCCUUCAUUUGAACAUUCUAUAACUUGUUAGAUUAGAUUUACUUUAUUGUUAUUCAUGACCCUCCCACCAUCUUCAUGAUGGUGUGUGUAGUGGUGAAUCUUAUAAUGAGGUUUUCUAACCUCCAUGCUUGAGAUACAUGAUGUUAUAUGACAAUACUUGAUUGGACUUAGUUUUAGGAUGUAUUAUUACCAUAUAAACUAUACAUAAUUAUAUAAAAACAUGGCUGAGUUUGUGGUGUUAAUCAAACCAUGAUUAGCCAUCAUAAACCUAAGCUAUCAUAUCAAAGAUUCUAGAGUUCUUGUUAUGAUUCCAAUGAGCAAUUUGGGAUCCAUGAAACCACUAGUUAUGGUGUCAUAAGCAAACUCUUAGGGCUUAGAUAUUACUUUCAUGUAUACAUACUUUUACUACUUUAAAUUCUAAAUUCCGAAUCUUACCACCCCCUACACAUCAUGAAACCCUACCAUCAAAUCCUCACUCACAAGCAAACUCGUCACUCUUGGAUAAUCGGAAAGCAUAUGCAAUUUUGUUGAGGUUUGAUGAUGCUAUGAAAACGGACUAGCAAAGAUGCCUAGAUACUCACUUAGACGUCUUAGGUCAAAUACGUUAUAUAAAUUUCAUAUUUGUUGUUGUAUUGUUCUCUUGUAUUUUUUAAUUUAUUGUAACACUUAUUCAUGAAUGAAAUCAAUUUAUCUUUAAUUCUAUUGUCA